rnacentral:rRNA from 1 species
UACGUAGGGUGCAAGCGUUGUCCGGAAUUACUGGGCGUAAAGGGCUCGUAGGCGGCCAACUAAGUCAGACGUGAAAUCCCUCAGCUUAACUGGGGAACUGCGUCUGAUACUGGAUGGCUUGGAUUCGGGAGAGGAAUGCGGAAUUCCAGGUGUAGCGGUGAAAUGCGUAGAUAUCUGGAGGAACACCGGUGGCGAAGGCGGCAUCCUGGACCGGCAUUGACGCUGAGGCGCGAAAGCCAGGGGAGCAAACGGG